AUUGCCCUAGUAACGGCGAGUGAAGCGGGAACAGCUCAAAUUUGAAAUCUGGCCCUUUUGUCCGAGUUGUAAUUUGCAGAGGAUGCUUUUGGUGCGGUGCCUUCCGAGUUCCCUGGAACGGGACGCCUUAGAGGGUGAGAGCCCCGUACGGUUGGCCACCAAGCCUGUGUAAAGCUCCUUCGACGAGUCGAGUAGUUUGGGAAUGCUGCUCAAAAUGGGAGGUAUAUUUCUUCUAAAGCUAAAUACUGGCCAGAGACCGAUAGCGCACAAGUAGAGUGAUCGAAAGAUGAAAAGCACUUUGAAAAGAGGGUUAAAUAGCACGUGAAAUUGUUGAAAGGGAAGGAUUUAUGACCAGACUUUUUCUGGGGGGAUCAUCCGGUGUUCUCACCGGUGCACUUCCCCCAGUUGAGGCCAGCAUCGGUUUCUGCCGGGGGAUAAAAGCUUCGGGAAUGUGGCUCCCUUCGGGGAGUGUUAUAGCCUGUUGCAUAAUACCCUGGCGGGGACCGAGGUUCGCGCAUUGCAAGGAUGCUGGCGUAAUGGUUAUUAAUCACCCGUCUUGAAACACGGACCAAGGAGUCGAACAUUUGUGCGAGUGUUUGGGUGUUAAACCCUCACGCGUAAUGAAAGUGAACGGAGGUGAGAGCCUUUCGGGGUGCAUCAUCGACCGAUCCUGAUGUCUUCGGAUGGAUUUGAGUAAGAGCAUAACUGUUCGGACCCGAAAGAUGGUGAACUAUGCGUGGAUAGGGUGAAGCCAGAGGAAACUCUGGUGGAGGCUCGCAGCGGUUCUGACGUGCAAAUCGAUCGUCAAAUCUGCGCAUGGGGGCGAAAGACUAAUCGAACCAUUGACCAGCGGUCAAAACAAUCACUAGGUGGUUAAGAGGGGGCCCGCGAGGGCCAUGGAGAAAAACCUAG
rnacentral:rRNA from 1 species